rnacentral:ribozyme from 1 species
UUAUUUUAUUUUAUUUUAUUUUAUUUUAUUUUACUCCGAAUAACAUCAUCAAUAUUCAAUACAGCCCAGCGAGAAAGAAUAGAGCCGCCAC